AGUGAACGCUGGCGGUAGGCCUAACACAUGCAAGUCGAACGGCAGCACAGUAAGAGCUUGCUCUUACGGGUGGCGAGUGGCGGACGGGUGAGGAAUACAUCGGAAUCUACUUUUUCGUGGGGGAUAACGUAGGGAAACUUACGCUAAUACCGCAUACGACCUACGGGUGAAAGCAGGGGAUCUUCGGACCUUGCGCGAUUGAAUGAGCCGAUGUCGGAUUAGCUAGUUGGCGGGGUAAAGGCCCACCAAGGCGACGAUCCGUAGCUGGUCUGAGAGGAUGAUCAGCCACACUGGAACUGAGACACGGUCCAGACUCCUACGGGAGGCAGCAGUGGGGAAUAUUGGACAAUGGGCGCAAGCCUGAUCCAGCCAUACCGCGUGGGUGAAGAAGGCCUUCGGGUUGUAAAGCCCUUUUGUUGGGAAAGAAAAGCAGCAGGUUAAGACCCCGCUGUUCUGACGGUACCCAAAGAAUAAGCACCGGCUAACUUCGUG
rnacentral:rRNA from 1 species